CCCUUAGAUGCUCUGGGCCGCACGCGCGCUACACUGGUCGAUGCAACGAGUUUCUUUCCUUGGCCGACAGGCCUGGGCAAUCUUUGAACAUCGAUCGUGAUCGGGAUAGAUUCUUGUAAUUUUUGAUCUUAAACGAGGAAUUCCUAGUAAACGCAAGUCAUCAGCUUGCAUUGAUUACGUCCCUGCCCUUUGUACACACCGCCCGUCGCACCUACCGAUUGAAUGGUCCGGUGAAAUCUCCGGACUGGCGUGAGUCGGAGCAAUCUGACAAACACCGGAAAGUUGAUUAAACCUUACCAUUUAGAGGAAGGUGAANUCGCANCA
rnacentral:rRNA from 1 species